AGUGAACGCUGGCGGUAGGCCUAACACAUGCAAGUCGAACGGCAGCACAGUAAGAGCUUGCUCUUACGGGUGGCGAGUGGCGGACGGGUGAGGAAUACAUCGGAAUCUACUUUUUCGUGGGGGAUGACGUAGGGAAACUUACGCUAAUACCGCAUACGACCUACGGGUGAAAGCAGGGGAUCUUCGGACCUUGCGCGAUUGAAUGAGCCGAUGUCGGAUUAGCUAGUUGGCGGGGUAAAGGCCCACCAAGGCGACGAUCCGUAGCUGGUCUGAGAGGAUGAUCCGCCACACUGGAACUGAGACACGGUCCAGACUCCUACGGGAGGCAGCAGUGGGGAAUAUUGGACAAUGGGCGCAAGCCUGAUCCAGCCAUACCGCGUGGGUGAAGAAGGCCUUCGGGUUGUAAAGCCCUUUUGUUGGGAAAGAAAAGCAGCAGGUUAAUACCCCGCUGUUCUGACGGUACCCAAAGAAUAAGCACCGGCUAACUUCGUG
rnacentral:rRNA from 1 species